GCAUCCCCACCGGACCCCCAUGUUGCCUUUGGACGACCGCCAGACGCCUUUGGAUUGUUGUUCGACUCCUUUCUCGUGUCACUCGACAGGCGCUCACUGUGACCUUUCCGGCGAUGACUAUACGACGAAGAUCAACUGAGGAGGGAGCCGAGUGGGGAAAAAAAAAAUCACCCAAUCAGGCGAGGCAAUAUUUUAGCUCAUCAUUAAGGCUCUACUCCUAUCUUGAAGGCUCCAAGCUGUGCUCCAGCUUCCAGGCUGUCAGUGGUUUGUGUCUCCUCACCAUCUUCUAUCUCAAACGACAUGACACACUCAGAAAAAGUGAGGGGGAGAGACAACUUCAAAUAUUUGGCAAAGGGAAAGCCUUAAGUUAUGCAAAGAAGGGGGCCGGGAGGAGGGUGGCGGGGGGGGUUCUAUUGUGUUGCAUCUGGAUCCAUUAGUCAACUGUUGGAAAGGUCCCACGUCGACGUGUGUGU